CUGAGUUCAGUAACUCGUCUGCUACCCAUAGAAGUACAUGGAAAUUGUGAGUAAAUGAUACUACAGCACAUCAACCAAUAUUAGUACUGCUGCUAAUGCUGAUGGAGGUAAAUGAAUAGAUGUAAGAAAAAAUGGGAAGUUAGACACAAAGUUCUCCUGAAACAUUUGCUGAGAGUUUUACUCACAUAAGUGUUUCAAUGUGUUAAAGUGGGACUGUUCAUGUACAUGAAUACAUCUUUGAAGGAUUCACUCGUUAGCAACGUCAUCUUUUUCACUUUAGAAGAUUUUGAUGUGACUGUUGUACUUUCUUGAGAAAACAAACAGAUAUUUUACUGUAGUAUUCUUUUCUUCUACAUCUUUUUAGUUGUUUUACAUAAACUGCUUUACAUAUGUGAUUUUUUGAGACCUUUUAUGCUUCUCUUACUGUAUGAUUGUCAAUUUCUAUAAUGACUUUUUAAUUUGUAAUACAUUCUAUUGUUUAUAUUGCAAUGAGUCACAAAUAUGUCUCAUGCUCAGUUUCCUCUCAUUCCCUUUGAUCACUCUGUGCGACUGAUUUCUCAAUACUGGUGUGCUGUCUUUCAUGGUUUUUGUCUUUUCCUUUUGCAGAAAUUGCUGACCUUCACACAAGCACCAUUCAUCCAUACUCUAUUCUCAUCAAAGUCCACGCACUGGAGAUAACGGAGGUCCUUGCUGUGAAGAAAGGGGAAUAGAGAUGCAAGGGAAUGAUGGAGCUGAAAAGAAGUACGAUAAGAGAGUUUGGCAAACUUUUUUCACAGGACAAUGAUUGAUCAGUUUGCUCUCUUCUAUUUAUGAAUCAUCUGGAAGUGGGCUUUGCCACAGCGUAUGCUCGAUCUGUGAGUUGCUUUUGAGUUAAUUACUAUGACUAUCAGCCUUUCUAUUAGUUUGUAACGUGUAGUAAUCCAAAUCACCUGUGUGAUAUCUUUUCCUUGGUUCAGAGGUUCAUUAAUCCCACAAAUGGCUUUCACUAUAAAUGUGAGUACGUUGAUAUAACGUUCUGUUCACAAAUCUAUGUUCAGAGAAUAGAAGUAGUCCUAUCUUAAUUUUUUUCUGCUUACAAACUGCCAUAGAGUGUGCUUUCAAAUUUACAUGAAAAGAACAUGAACAAUGUGUUGAAGGAGAAUUUACAGACAUACAGAUAUCAUUGUGCAGCAUCUGCCCACGUUUAAAGU
rnacentral:lncRNA from 1 species